GGAGGAUCAAAAUAUCUCUUCAAUUGCCUUAAGCAAUCCCUUAAGUCAAACAUCAAUCAUAGAAAAGUCAACUGUAAAGUCAAGUCAACUUGAAAAUUAUCAAAUAAAUAGUAAAUUAAUUCAAUAAAUUAUGAAAAAUUAAACUAGCUAAGGUGGGGUCAGGACAUCAUCAUCCCCCAAAAAUAUUUUAAAAAUAAUGUGAAUUAGUGUAUAAAAUAAUUGAAAUAAAACAGAAGUCAAAUG
rnacentral:lncRNA from 1 species